AGUUUGAUCCUGGCUCAGGACGAACGCUGGCGGCGUGCCUAAUACAUGCAAGUAGAACGCUGAAGACUUUAGCUUGCUAAAGUUGGAAGAGUUGCGAACGGGUGAGUAACGCGUAGGUAACCUGCCUACUAGCGGGGGAUAACUAUUGGAAACGAUAGCUAAUACCGCAUAACAGCAUUUAACCCAUGUUAGAUGCUUGAAAGGAGCAAUUGCUUCACUAGUAGAUGGACCUGCGUUGUAUUAGCUAGUUGGUGAGGUAACGGCUCACCAAGGCGACGAUACAUAGCCGACCUGAGAGGGUGAUCGGCCACACUGGGACUGAGACACGGCCCAGACUCCUACGGGAGGCAGCAGUAGGGAAUCUUCGGCAAUGGGGGCAACCCUGACCGAGCAACGCCGCGUGAGUGAAGAAGGUUUUCGGAUCGUAAAGCUCUGUUGUAAGAGAAGAACGUGUGUGAGAGUGGAAAGUUCACACAGUGACGGUAACUUACCAGAAAGGGACGGCUAACUACGUGCCAGCAGCCGCGGUAAUACGUAGGUCCCGAGCGUUGUCCGGAUUUAUUGGGCGUAAAGCGAGCGCAGGUGGUUUAGUAAGUCUGAAGUAAAAGGCAGUGGCUCAACCAUUGUACGCUUUGGAAACUGCUAAACUUGAGUGCAGAAGGGGAGAGUGGAAUUCCAUGUGUAGCGGUGAAAUGCGUAGA
rnacentral:rRNA from 1 species